AUUGAACGCUGGCGGCAUGCCUUACACAUGCAAGUCGAACGGCAGCACGGGAGCAAUCCUGGUGGCGAGUGGCGAACGGGUGAGUAAUAUAUCGGAACGUGCCCAGUCGUGGGGGAUAACGUAGCGAAAGCUACGCUAAUACCGCAUACGAUCUAUGGAUGAAAGCGGGGGAUCGCAAGACCUCGCGCGAUUGGAGCGGCCGAUAUCAGAUUAGGUAGUUGGUGGGGUAAAGCCUACCAAGCCUUCGAUCUGUAGCUGGUCUGAGAGGACGACCAGCCACACUGGAACUGAGACACGGUCCAGACUCCUACGGGAGGCAGCAGUGGGGAAUUUUGGACAAUGGGCGCAAGCCUGAUCCGGCAAUGCCGCGUGCAGGAUGAAGGCC
rnacentral:rRNA from 1 species